UAGGGAAUCUUCGGCAAUGGGGGCAACCCUGACCGAGCAACGCCGCGUGAGUGAAGAAGGUUUUCGGAUCGUAAAGCUCUGUUGUAAGAGAAGAACGUGUGUGAGAGUGGAAAGUUCACACAGUGACGGUAACUUACCAGAAAGGGACGGCUAACUACGUGCCAGCAGCCGCGGUAAUACGUAGGUCCCGAGCGUUGUCCGGAUUUAUUGGGCGUAAAGCGAGCGCAGGCGGUUUAAUAAGUCUGAAGUGAAAGGCAGUGGCUUAACCAUUGUUCGCUUUGGAAACUGUUAUACUUGAGUGCAGAAGGGGAGAGUGGAAUUCCAUGUGUAGCGGUGAAAUGCGUAGAUAUAUGGAGGAACACCGGUGGCGAAAGCGGCUCUCUGGUCUGUAACUGACGCUGAGGCUCGAAAGCGUGGGGGGCAAACAGG
rnacentral:rRNA from 1 species